rnacentral:lncRNA from 1 species
CUAUUAAUAAUCGCUUGAGAUGGGUUAUCUAUUGGUUUAUUAUUUUUGCUUUUUCUCAUGAUAUAGUGAUGUUUUUUUCGUAUGCUUCUAUUGCUAAGGCGGUAUUAAGCCUCGUACACACUUGUGAACCGAAUGGCAAAGUGCUCAAAGUACUGCAACAUUUCUCCAAACCUGCAACAAAAGUGCGCAACAUAUCCGCGAUCCAUCGGAUGUCGGUAUUUCUGCGAACCAUCAAAAGGCGUUGCGCGAUCAUGUUUCAUCAAAUCUGGAUGGCUGUUGACGAUCAGUAAAGGUAGUCGUUAGAAAGGUUGUUUACUUAAUCACACGAAAAUGGAAUGAUCAAAGGAUAUGACUUUAAAAUAUAUAGAAUCUUUCAUAAACGGUUAUGGCUUCUCUUAAAAACAUAUUUCUUUUAGCGAUUUUGGGUCCAAUUAAAUUUAAAAGUAAAUCGUAAUCAUCAGAAUGCAUUCCGGUAAAAUUAUGAAACUGUCUGUUUGAUUCUU